rnacentral:rRNA from 1 species
AGCAGCAGCCGCGGGAAUACGAAGGGGGCUAGCGUUGUUCGGAAUUACUGGGCGUAAAGCGCACGUAGGCGGAUAUUUAAGUCAGGGGUGAAAUCCCGCAGCUCAACUGCGGAACUGCCUUUGAUACUGGGUAUCUUGAGUAUGGAAGAGGUUAGUGGAAUUGCGAGUGUAGAGGUGAAAUUCGUAGAUAUUCGCAGGAACACCAGUGGCGAAGGCGGCUAACUGGUCCAUAACUGACGCUGAGGUGCGAAAGCGUGGGGAGCAAACAGGAUUAGAUACCCCAGUAGUCCCUGUCUCUUAUAC